GCGAGUGAAGCGGCAAAAGCUCAAAUUUGAAAUCUAGCACUUUCAGUGUUCGAGUUGUAAUUUGAAGAAGGUAACUUUGGAAUUGGCUCUUGUCUAUGUUCCUUGGAACAGGACGUCACAGAGGGUGAGAAUCCCGUGCGAUGAGAUGUCCAAUUCUAUGUAAAGUGCUUUCGAAGAGUCGAGUUGUUUGGGAAUGCAGCUCUAAGUGGGUGGUAAAUUCCAUCUAAAGCUAAAUAUUGGCGAGAGACCGAUAGCGAACAAGUACAGUGAUGGAAAGAUGAAAAGAACUUUGAAAAGAGAGUGAAAAAGUACGUGAAAUUGUUGAAAGGGAAGGGCUUGAGAUCAGACUUGGUAUUUUGUGUUCCUUAUCCUUCUUGGAUUAGGUUCCUCACAGCUUACCGGGCCAGCAUCGGUUUGGAUGGCAGGAUAAUGACAUUGGAAUGUAGCUUUGCUUCGGUGAAGUGUUAUAGACUUUGUUGAUACUGCCUAUCUAGACCGAGGACUGCGUCUUUGACUAGGAUGCUGGCGUAAUGAUCUUAAGCCGCCC
rnacentral:rRNA from 1 species